AUUGAACGCUGGCGGCAUGCUUUACACAUGCAAGUCGAACGGUAACAGGCCGCAAGGUGCUGACGAGUGGCGAACGGGUGAGUAAUGCAUCGGAACGUGCCCAGUCGUGGGGGAUAACUACUCGAAAGAGUAGCUAAUACCGCAUACGAUCUAUGGAUGAAAGCGGGGGACCGUAAGGCCUCGCGCGAUUGGAGCGGCCGAUGUCAGAUUAGGUAGUUGGUGGGGUAAAGGCUCACCAAGCCAACGAUCUGUAGCUGGUCUGAGAGGACGACCAGCCACACUGGGACUGAGACACGGCCCAGACUCCUACGGGAGGCAGCAGUGGGGAAUUCUGGACAAUGGGCGCAAGCCUGAUCCAGCAACGCCGCGUGCAGGAAGAAGGCCUUCGGGUUGUAAACUGCUUUUGUACGGAACGAAACGGCUCUGGUUAAUACCCGGGGCUAAUGACGGUACCGUAAGAAUAAGCACCGGCUAACUACGUG
rnacentral:rRNA from 1 species